CCCUUAGAUGUUCUGGGCUGCACGCGCGCUACACUGAUGCGUUCAACAAGCUGGACCUUGUCCGAGAGGAAAUCGGGGGAAUCUUUUGAAAACGUAUCGUGAUGGGGAUAGAUUAUUGUAAUUAUUAAUCUUCAACGAGGAAUUCCUAGUAAGCAUGAAUCAUCAGCUCGUGCUGAUUACGUCCCUGCCCUUUGUACACACCGCCCGUCGCUCCUUCCGAUUGAAUGCUCAGGUGAGCCAUUCGGACUUUCAUCAUGCUGGUUUCCAGUUUUGAUGAAGGAAAGUCUUGCGAACCUUAUCAUUUAGAGGAAGGAGAAGUCGUAACA
rnacentral:rRNA from 1 species